AAGAAAGUGGCAGAGUGGUUAUGCGACUGGCUUGAAACCAGUACAUGGGGGUUCAAUUCCUCCUUUUCUCG
rnacentral:tRNA from 1 species